rnacentral:rRNA from 1 species
UACGGAGGGGGCUAGCGUUGUUCGGAAUUACUGGGCGUAAAGCGCACGUAGGCGGCUUUGUAAGUUAGAGGUGAAAGCCCGGAGCUCAACUCCGGAAUUGCCUUUAAGACUGCAUCGCUAGAAUUGUGGAGAGGUAAGUGGAAUUCCGAGUGUAGAGGUGAAAUUCGUAGAUAUUUGGAAGAACACCAGUGGCGAAGGCGACUUACUGGACACAUAUUGACGCUGAGGUGCGAAAGCGUGGGGAGCAAACAGG